rnacentral:rRNA from 1 species
UACGGAGGUCUCGAGCGUUAGGCGGAAUCACUGGGCUUAAAGCGUGUGUAGGCGGAUCGUUAAGUGCCUUGUGAAAUCCCACGGCUUAACCGUGGAACUGCUUGGCAUACUGGCGGUCUUGAGCAACCUAGGGGCGAGCGGAACAAAUGGUGGAGCGGUGAAAUGCGUAGAUAUCAUUUGGAACGCCAAUGGUGAAAACAGCUCGCUGGGGGUUUGCUGACGCUGAGACACGAAAGCCAGGGGAGCAAACGGG